CACUAACACACACACACACACACACACACACACACACACACACACUAACACAACACACACACUAACACAACACACACACUAACACAACACACACACUAACACAACACACACAAACACACACACACACACACACACAUCAGAGGCACAAAAGCACACACUCGACUCAAUUCAUGGCUUUCAGCAAAUGAGUGCCUUUCAAAAAUAACCACUUACUCAACCGUGUAAUGGUAUCCUCAUGUUUUAUGUAGUUUUUUCUUAUGGUUUCAACAGUUUGAGGAGUCACCCGUUAGAUGAUAUUUUUCCUUUUUAUUUUGUAUUUAUUGUAUCAAAACUAUUAUUAUUGUAAUUAAUAAGUAAGAUCACUUCUUAAGAUCAAAAUUACAAUAAUGGAUUAUUUAAUACUAAUUAUAUUUACAGAGGUAAUAUUUUAUUUGUAAAGCAAGCCUAGAGAAACCUUUUCUUUUUUUACCCCUUUCAUUUCUUCCUGUCUUUUGUCCUAUCAGAGGUCUCAAUGUUGUACCGUGGCGCUACAUAUCAGCUCGGCUGCAAUUCAGGAACGGGCACGCGGUCGCCCUGUUGCUCCGGUGGCCAUUGUCACAAAAACCCCAGUGUUUUCGGUCGUAAGAAACGUCCGAUAAGCAUAUCAAUUCACUUUAAAAGCCGGAUUUCCGCACAUUAGCCUUCCCCAACGGCCCUCAUCCAAUCAUUAAUAGCAGGCACAUAACUGUACUUUAAACGGUCUAUGUUUUUUUACUCUCGGUUUGCACAGGAGCAAUCGCAAAGACUUGUGGCCACGCCUCCCCCCGACACCCUCAACAGAAACCCUUGGCUCCUCCCACAACCAAAGCGUGGCAUGUUUACAACGAACGCUGCACUGACGACAGUUAGACUAGAGAGGCCAAAUGGCGCUGGGGAGAGUGGUUUCAGCUGUACACAGGUGACCCCAACCGACAGCCUCAGUCUGUUUACGUGGGUUCGCUAAGGAUUACUUCUUGUUUUGUAGGUUUUUUUCAGCAUAACAUGCAGGGGGAAUCCAAACCCCCCCUCGCGGCGUCUCGAGUCCUCUCGGGAUUUAAUAAUAAAAAAGGAGACUUGUGGGAGUGCUCGUUUAAACAUGGCCAAGCAACGUUCAAAACCUCCGAACUGUAGAGCUGGGAGAUUCCAUUAAUGAAUUACACGGAUGGAUCCGGUGUGUGUGUACUUGUGUGUGCGUGUGUGUAUGUGGGGGGGGGUCUGAGGGUGUCUGAGUGUAUGUGUGUAUGUUUGUUUGUGUGUGUGUGUGUUGCUGAAUCCAUCACAGUGUUGUGAGCCAGGUGGACAAGAGCUGACGGCAACCAUAUAAUGUUCACAGAGGAUUACUUAUUAUUAUUAUUAUUAUCAUUAUUAUUAUUAUAUUAUUAUUAAUAUUGUUUCCUUUUGAUAUUUUCACCCUUCUUGGAGUGAACCUUUGGAGUGAUUUGCUUUUUGUUUUGUUAAUGAAGUUAUUUAUUCUGUGCUCCUUUUUUUGUUAUUUUGUUUCCCUUCCUGUGUAAGAUAUUUAUUUUCUGGUGUGAAGUGAACCAUUUGAAUUGUAAUCGUGUGUACAGAAUGUGUGGCGAGAAUGUACUCUGCCCCAGAUAGGAUUGUUAAUCACUUAUGGAUUUUAUCGGUGGAAGCCAUUAUAUACGAAAUAUAUAUGUCUGUUUUUUUUUCACACUUCCUUCCCUGUUUUAUUUGUCAUGUGGGGUUGGGCGCUGCACAAGCGAUGAAGGUCUGCCUCUUAAUUCCUUUCAUUUCCUUUUUCUUUUGUUUUUUAAAGAAUAAUUGUAACAGUUUGUGGGUCCGGGGAACAGUCGAUGCAGCUCAAUUACUCCCAAACUGUCCUCUGCAUUCAGAUGUCAACACUCCAAAGCCUGUCACAGACUCAUGCCAAAAGUAAUGUACAUAGUCUACGCCUAGCGGGGAGCUCCCGGUAAUGUAUAUAGCACGCCUGGAGAGCCCCCCUCAUUUCAUCAGUGUUCCUUCUACAUGUCCUUUCUUUGUUGUCUGUUAGUUUUUGUCACCCAAAUCUAUUUUUACCGCUGUCUUGUACACUCUGAAGUGAACCUACAAGACCCUUUUAGGGUCAGAUGUGUUGGGGCUGGUGAGUGGGUGGGG
ensembl:lncRNA